GCAAGUCGAGCGGAAAGGCCCUUCGGGGUACUCGAGCGGCGAACGGGUGAGUAACACGUGAGCAACCUGCCCCAAGCUUUGGGAUAACCCUCGGAAACGGGGGCUAAUACCGAAUAUUACUGCUGGUCGCAUGGCUGGUGGUGGAAAGUUUUUCGGCUUGGGAUGGGCUCGCGGCCUAUCAGCUUGUUGGUGGGGUGAUGGCCUACCAAGGCGACGACGGGUAGCCGGCCUGAGAGGGCGACCGGCCACACUGGGACUGAGACACGGCCCAGACUCCUACGGGAGGCAGCAGUGGGGAAUAUUGCACAAUGGGCGGAAGCCUGAUGCAGCGACGCCGCGUGAGGGAUGACGGCCUUCGGGUUGUAAACCUCUUUCAGCAGGGACGAAGCGAGAGUGACGGUACCUGCAGAAGAAGCACCGGCCAACUACGUGCCAGCAGCCGCGGUAAGACGUAGGGUGCGAGCGUUGUCCGGAUUUAUUGGGCGUAAAGAGCUCGUAGGCGGCUUGUCGCGUCGACCGUGAAAACUUGGGGCUCAACCCCAAGCCUGCGGUCGAUACGGGCAGGCUAGAGUUCGGUAGGGGAGACUGGAAUUCCUGGUGUAGCGGUGAAAUGCGCAGAUAUCAGGAGGAACACCGGUGGCGAAGGCGGGUCUCUGGGCCGAUACUGACG
rnacentral:rRNA from 1 species